GUCAUGGAAAGGCAAACUUCUUUCUGUAGGAGGCAGGGCCAUAUUGAUUGAAAAUGUUCUGCAAAGUAUCUCAAUUCAUAUGCUGUCAGCAGUUAAUCCUCCAAGCUAUGUCAUUUCCAAAUUACAUAGCAUUUUUGCAAAAAUUUCUGGAGCAAUAAUGUGGGAGAAAGCUUAAGACAUUGGUCAUCUUGGACUAACCUGUGUAUGCCUUAUGAGGAAGGGGGUAUAGGCUUCAGAUCCCUUCAUAAAAUAUCCAAGGCACUGUUCUGCAAAUUGUGGUGGAACUUUAUGACAAAACCCAAUUUAUGGAGUGCAUUUAUGUGUCAAAAAUAUAGCAAGAAAUUAAAUUCUGUAAUUGUACCGUGGAAGGGUGGAUCCCACGUUUGGAAGAAAAUGCUUCAAUGCAGGGAUGUGAUCGAGCAUCAAAUCUACUGAAAAUUGAGAAUGGGAUCAGCUCAAUUCUGGUUUGACAAUUGGACAGAAAUGGGAGCACUAUAUAUCCAAAUGCCAGAACAGUUUGCCAUUGAUGAAGACAUUCACAAUGUCAAUGAUAUGAUUGAAAAUGGUAUAUGGAAUAUGGAAAAAUUAUUUCAGAAACUACCUGAAGAAUGGGCUAACCACAUUGUGCAUAAUAUUAGACCCCCAAAAGAAUGUGCAGAGUUAGAUACACCUUUCUGGAUGCUUGAAGAAAGGGGACAUUUUUCAGUAAAAAGUGCAUGAGAUUACCUGCGAAGAAGAGAAAUUGCAAGGAUAGCUUACAAGAUAGUAUGGGUCAAAGGCUUACCUUUCAAGAUAUCUUUCUUCUUGUGAAGGUGUGGAAAGCAAAACCUCCACUUGAUGAUUUCUUGCGUAGAAUAGGAUACUCCAUCGCAUGUAAAUGUUGGUAUUGUGCUGACCCUAAGGAGGAGUCUUUAGGUAAUUUAUUCUUCACUUCAAAUGCAGCUAAGAGUGUCUGGAGUUAUUUCUUAAAGAGAGCAGGAAUUCAAAUAGAAGGGCUGUCUUUACAUCAAGCAAUUACAAAAUGAUGGACGUCUUCAGCCAUACCUAGAUUGAAGUCAGUCUUCCUAGCUUUAUCUGCAUGCAUUGUAUGGGAGUUAUGGAAGAGAAGAAAUAGUUUGAAAUAUGGAGAAGCAGUGUCAGUUAGCAGAGUUAUUUACCAAGUUUCAUCAACGCUGCAAUCACUUGUUCAAAUGAAAAAACCAGGAUUACAUGUUCCUCACAAGUGGCUCGACUUACUGACAAUGAUGGAGCAAUACACACCUCGACUAAAGUUUGAUAAAGUGCUAUGGGAAUUUCCCCCAAGAGGAUGGAUAAAAGUGAAUACGGAUGGAGCAUGCAGAGGGAAUCCAGGGAGAAGUUCAAUUGGAUUUUGUUUAAGAGAUGAAAUAGGUGACUUGAUAUAUGCAGAAGCAAGAGAAAUUAAGGAGGGCUCUAACAAUGAAGCUGAGGCAACGGCAAUAGUAGAGGCAAUGAGAAUGUGCAAAUCAAUGAACUUCAACAAUGUUUGGCUUGAGACAGAUUCAAUGAUGCUCCAAAUAAUAAUAGAUGGACAAUGGAAACCGCCAUGGAGUAUUACGGAUGCGGUGGAGGAAAUCAACAUAGACAGAUUCAAUGAUGCUUCAAUAGAUAAUAGAUGGACAAUGGAAACCGCCAUGGAAUACUACGGAUGCGGUGGAGGAAAUCAACAUACUCAAAGAGGGGUGUAAUUUCAAACUAUCUCACAUUUUCAGAGAGGGAAACAAUCUAGCAGACCACCUUACAAACCAUGCUCCAGACAGUGGUAACAUCGAGUGUUUCGAUUUUUCGGAACUUGAUGUUCUGAUCAGAAGGAUUGUAAAUGAUGAUAAACUUCAAUGCGCAAAAUUGGUAACAUCUAGUGUUUCGAUUUUUCGGAACUUGAUGUUCUGAGCAGAAGGAUUGUAAAUGAUGAGAAGCUUCAAUGCGCAAAACUGAGAAUAAGAGUGGCAAGAAAUUAGGGAAGGAAAGGGGAAGAAACAAACGCCAUCAUGGUCUUAAACUUUUUCACUAACUUUUCUUUCUGUUUUGCAGGAAAAACAGUUGUAAUGUUAUUGCAGCUGAACAAAGGUACAACCUAUGCAAGUGUCAUCAAACAAGAAAGCAUUGAUAUCAUAUCAAGGGUAUUCAAAAGAAAUAGAAGAAACAUGGAGGUCAACAAUUGAUAUUCUAAGUCACGGUCAGCAUGCGACUUUCUAGUUGUGCGUUCUUCUGGAUAUACAAAUCAUUAGGUUGAGCAGCGUGCGACUUCAUCAUUGGAAUUUUCGGCCAUAUCUUUGUUCAAGAUAGCACCUGAUUUUAGUACACGCAUGGAUAUCAGCACAUGGACCAAAGUAGAUUGGUCAUUUUUAAAUUAC
rnacentral:lncRNA from 1 species